GUAGGUGCAUUAGUCAAACCGA
rnacentral:siRNA from 1 species